GGGAGAGGUGUGGGGAGCUCUGCUUCAGCUGUGGGGCCUCAGGAGGCAGGACUCAGGGAUGACCUCCACCAUGGCCUGGGCCCCUCUCCUCCUCACCCUCCUGGCUCACUGCACAGGAUCCUGGGCCCAGUCUGUGCUGACUCAGCCAUCCUCAGUGUCGGGGUCCCCGGGCCAGAGGGUCACCAUCUCCUGCACUGGAAGUAGCACCAACGUUGGGUAUGGUGACUAUGUGUCCUGGUACCAGCAGCUCCCAGGAAAGGCCCCCAAACUCCUCAUCUAUCAGAGUAGCAAACGACCCACAGGGAUUCCGGACCGAUUCUCUGGCUCCAGGUCUGGCAGCUCAGCCUCCCUGACCAUCACGGGGCUGCAGGCUGAGGACGAGGCCGACUAUUACUGCCAGUCAUACGAGAGCAGUAUCGACGGUCCCACAGUGCUGCAGGCCUGUGGGGAA